AUCCGCCUGCCUCGGCCUCCCAAAGUGCUGGGAUUACCGGCAUGAGCCACCAUUUCCGGCAACAGGCAGACUUUUAACACAUUCCUUACCUAAACUUUUAAAAGGGACAAAAGAUAUAUGCCUUUGGUUUGGGAGAUGACGAAACAUAUGCUUUAAUGACUAUUGGGUUGGAAUCUUCUUGAGAGAGGAUCCUUCUUAGCCUAGACUAGAGUCUUCAAAAGCCCACAGUGCUUCGUAAAGUUUCAUACGUGGAAGAGAGAAGGAUGUUCCACUGGAAAAGCAGAAUUGCAGCUGAGCUGUCCUGAAAUGCCCAGCACUCUGUGGAGACGCGGAGGAGGUUUCCUGGGACAAAGUGCUGAACCAGCUACAGCCACAAGCUGUCUCCACCAUCAGAUGUGGCUUACCUGGUUCCUGAGUCAAUUCCAUCCAGAUGGUGAAGCCAAGGCCUGAAGACCUUUCCUGCAAGGUCGCAGAGGAAGAGGCAGAAGAAGGACCAGAACCCAGCUCCCCUGACUCCCUAUCCAGUGCUCUUCUCAUAGAUUACAUUGCUUCAGCAUCCACCUGGCUAUUGCUCCAUCCAGGGGUUACAGGAGUCACUGACUGUUUUGGUUGCUUCUUGGUUGGAGGAUGUUGUGCCUCACCGAUGAGAGCCGGAAGCAAAGGUACCAGUUCUUAGAGGAAGCAUAGGAAUGUGUCCCUUCCUGCUCGGGUCUCUCAACUGAACUCAACCCUUCCUUGAUUGAUUGACAAGCAUGUUAUCUCUCAUAAUCCCUGCCCGGUAAGGGCUGAUGUCCCCAUUUUACAGAUGAGGAUAUUGGAGCUCAGAGAAGUGAAAUGAUUGCUGAAGGUCACACAGCCUGGCUUCAAGCCUCUCGGGCUCCAAAAGGCAUCUUCUGUUCUCUCCGUCAGGAAGCCUCUUUUGGAUGAUUAACUGAGAUUAAAAAUGAAAAGACACAUGAAAGAAAGGUCCUUUUUUUCAACCUGACAAGAACUAAGAAUGCCUCUGUAUUCCAGGCACCCAGACCAGGGUGGGCUGGAAAGCCAGCCAGAGAGAAAGCAGGAGAAAGAAAGCAUGUUCUAACAGGAAGGUUAAAGCACCCUGGGAUGUGAGUUGGGGUGGAGAAGUGAAGAGGGCAGUUCUCACAGGGGCAGAGCUUGGUUUGGGGUAGGCUAGGAGCUGGGACCAGAAGAGGGACAGGGAAGGGUUUAUUGUGGGUCCACGGCCCAGCUCCACUGCAUGGGCCAUCUGACAGCGCCUGACCGAGCAGAAUGCCAGGGUGUAAAGACCCCACUAAUACCCAGUCAAUGAGAGGAACGCCAGAGGAGCACCCAGAAUGUUCUUGUGCAGAGGCAAAGAGCAGGAGUUUGUGACCACAGCUGGCAGUCCAUGUCAUCCUCACUGAACGACCUCUUAGCAUUCCAGGUGGACAAACAUAUUCACAGGUGCCCAGACAAAUGAGGUCUGCGGGAGAGAGACAGGCUACAUCAGAGGUAGACUAUGUAUUUACAUAAAGUAGGAAUAAGAGUCUCAGAAGCCUUCCAAAGCAGAUGUCUGCUUAAACCUCUUGAGCGGUGCCCUCCUUAGCCUGGAAGGAAGGCCUUGCUCAGGUAGUCUCAACCCGCAUCUGUGGUGUGAUUUAACACCUUCC
rnacentral:lncRNA from 1 species